AACGAUUCUUUAUGAGAUUGAGAGAGAAGUGAGAAUCAAGGCAUCUUGCGGCGAACUCAAGAACUCGGAAAGAAGAAACACCCAUUCCCCACAGCCAGGGCGAAAUGAGGUGCAGAUCCGAUCCGAUGUCCACUUCUUUGUCCAUGGCAAGAUCGGACGGUUUGUGGUCAAUGCCCCCAUGAUUCUUGGCCAUUGAAUCUUCAGGUGUUGUUUCUGCACUUGGGGAUGGUGUGACCAGCCUCAAAGUGGGCUACAACAUUUCAGACAGAAAAUAUAACAAAAAGAGGG